GAUGAAGAACGCAGCGAAAUGCGAUAAGUAAUGUGAAUUGCAGAAUUCAGUGAAUCAUCGAAUCUUUGAACGCACAUUGCGCCCCCUGGUAUUCCGGGGGGCAUGCCUGUCCGAGCGUCAUUACAACCCUCAAGCUCAGCUUGGUAUUGGGCCCCGCCGCUCCGGCGGGCCCUAAAGUCAGUGGCGGUGCCGUCCGGCUCCGAGCGUAGUAAUUCUUCUCGCUCUGGAGGUCCGGUCGUGUGCUCGCCAGCAACCCCCAAUUUUUUUCAGGUUGACCUCGGAUCAGGUGGGGAUACCCGCUGAACUUAAGCAUAUCAAUAAGCGGAGGA
rnacentral:misc_RNA from 1 species